GAUAAACGCUGGCGGCGUGCAUGAGACAUGCAAGUCGAACGAAGGAUCGGGCUUGCCCGAUCCUUAGUGGCGGACGGCUGAGUAACGCGUAGGUGACCUACCCCGAAGUGGGGAAUAACUGCCCGAAAGGGUGGCUAAUACCGCAUGUGGUCGCACGUUCAUUCGUGCGAGUAAAGCCGCAAGGCGCUUCGGGAGGGGCCUGCGUCCGAUUAGCUCGUUGGUGGGGUAAUGGCUUACCAAGGCGACGAUCGGUAGGUGGUCUGAGAGGACGAUCACCCAGACUGGGACUGAGACACGGCCCAGACUCCUACGGGAGGCAGCAGUCGGGAAUUUUGCUCAAUGGGGGAAACCCUGAAGCAGCAACGCCGCGUGAGGGAUGAAGGCCUUCGGGUUGUAAACCUCUUUUGUCAGGGACGAUGAUGACGGUACCUGGCGAAUAAGCCACGGCUAACUACGUG
rnacentral:rRNA from 1 species